UCCUACGGGGGGCAGCAGUGGGGGAUAUUGCACAAUGGGGGAAACCCUGAUGCAGCGACGCCGCGUGAGCGAUGAAGUAUUUCGGUAUGUACAGCUCUAUCAGCAGGGAAGAAAAUGACGGUACCUGACUAGGAAGCCCCGGCUAACUACGUGCCAGCAGCCGCGGUAAUACGUAGGGGGCAAGCGUUAUCCGGAUUUACUGGGUGUAAAGGGAGCGUAGACGGCAGUGCAAGUCUGAAGUGAAAAUCCAGCGCUUAACGUUGGAAGUGCUUUGGAAACUGCCGGGCUGGAGUGCAGGAGGGGCG
rnacentral:rRNA from 1 species